CGGGGGGAGCAAGCGUUGUUCGGAUUUACUGGGCGUAAAGGGCGCGUAGGCGGCCACCGCAAGUCGACUGUGAAAUCUCCGGGCUUAACCCGGAAAGGUCAGCCGAUACUGCGGGGCUAGAGUGCAGAAGGGGCAACUGGAAUUCUCGGUGUAGCGGUGAAAUGCGUAGAUAUCGAGAGGAACACCUGCGGCGAAGGCGGGUUGCUGGGCUGACACUGACGCUGAGGCGCGAAAGCUAGGGGAGCGAACGGGAUUAGAUACCCCGGUAGUCCUAGCCUUAAACGAUGAAUGCUUGGUGUCUGGGGUUUUAUAGUCCCCGGGUGCCGUCGCUAACGUUUUAAGCAUUCCGCCUGGGGAGUACGGUCGCAAGACUG
rnacentral:rRNA from 1 species